GGAGGGGGGAGGGAAAUGUCACCCGGCGGGCGCGGUGCUGAGGGACGGAGCGAGGGGACGGAGGGACGGGGAGCGCCGCCGGCUGUCAAGCAGAGCAGUUGCCAAGUGAUCUUCUCCACAGCACCCACGAACUUUGGCCUUACAUGAAGAGGACUCAUCAAAUGCCUUGGGAGAUACAACACAGAAUUGGAAGAGAAGCAUGGAUCUCCACAGAGGGCAGUCCGCUGCAUUCUUGGUGUGUGGAGGAACGGGUCCUGUGCUCACUGUUGUUACUCCCACAUAGGCGGACUCUGUAACUGAUUAUAUGUGGGUAGGGCCCUAUUGAAAUUAAGGAGAUUCUGCAGUAGUGCGGGGUUCUGUUUGUGUGACCCCACUGUGCCUUCUUACUGUGAAUUCUGUCAGUGUAUCAUGGGUUGUGCUGGAACCUGCCUUUUGGGAUAAUUACCAAAUAAUAUAUUCCUCAAAACUUCUUAAUGGCACUGAGGCUUUGUGGAUAGUUGGUCACAUGAUGAGAAAAUUCAGCUAUCAUGGACAAGGAUAAAAGUUCACCUAUCUGUGCAAGCAGCGCUGGUACCUGACUGCACUAUGUGAGCCUCCACACAGGAGGCUGUGUGCCUUUGUUCCAGCAUCAGCAAUACACUCUUCCCUUGACUUCCAGCACAUGCUCCUCAGGUCAACUUUACCUGCAGUGCUGAGCUACUGUGACAGCAUGACUUUUGUGACUUGCCUCGAGCAGGAAGCUUUCAAAGCCACGUGCCAAAGAUUACAGGAAACAGACAAGCAAUGCUUAGAGUUGGAAAACACCUCUAAGACCAUCAAGUCCAACCAUCAACCCAUCACCACCAAGCCCAGUCAAAGAACCAUAGAGAUUGGGAAAAAACCUCCAAGACCAUCAGUUUCAACCCGUCAUCACCGUGCGCUUAAAUCACUUAGUUAAGAAUUGUGGAUUUACAUAGAGCCUCUCCUACACCUGAAUAAAUCUUGCUUGCAAGUCCCUAUUAAGAAACCACCAGUGCUGGAGUUCUUGGCAUCAAAAACUCAUCUCUGUAAGAGCCAGAAGCUAACCUGUCCAUGCUAACCUGUGGCUACAGAUGCUGUUGCUGAUGGAGCUCCAGAUGACAGCGCCUGCUGUGGAUCUGCUGGAUUCUGUAUUGCUUAAGGAAGCCAACAUCAGCAUGGGAAUUCUACUGUAAACUGAUAUAUCUGAUAAGCUUGUUAAUUUGUGGAGUCACAGAUACUAAAAUCCUGGUGGCACGCAUGACCGCCCUUUUAGACUUAGUAUAUAAAUGACCAAUGUGCUAACCAACAGUUUUGAAGAGCAUUUUCCUGAGGCUGAUGGAAGAGCCACUGUAUGUAUUUAACUACAGCAGUUUGCAGGGCAUGAAUAACACCAUUUACACUGGAUUUUUACCUGAAGUACUGUGAUACAGAUAAGAAUGUCUGAUGUGAAAGGGAACUGGAAAACUCAACUGAAUUCUAAACCUUGGUAAAAACUCUGAAGAAACAGAUAUCAGUGAGAUGAUAAUUCAUUGCAGGAGGGCAGCAGAACAGGUAAUAUUACCAGCUGGCUUUGUUUGGAAGAAUGAAGUAAGUCGGAGUGUCCUAAAUCUGGAUACGCUACACUUGUUG